rnacentral:piRNA from 1 species
UAGGAGGUGGCCAGAACCAAACUGU